rnacentral:rRNA from 1 species
GGGGAGCUUGUACAGGUGCUGCAUGGCUGUCGUCAGCUCGUGUCGUGAGAUGUUCGGUUAAGUCCGCUAACGAGCGCAACCCUCGUCGUAUGUUAUAUGUGUCAUACGAGACUGCCGGUAAAAAGCCGGAGGAAGGUGAGGAUGAUGUCAAGUCAGCAUGACCUUUAUAUCCAGGGCUACACACACGCUACAAUGGUCUGUACAAUGGGUAGCCAAGCCGCGAGGCGGAGCCAAUCCCAGAAACCCGAUCGUAGUCCGGAUUGCAGGCUGCAACUCGCCUGCAUGAAGUCGGAAUCGCUAGUAAUCGCGGAUCAGCAUGUCGCGGUGAAUACGUUCCCGGGUCUU